GCAGCCAUGCCGCGUGUAUGAAGAAGGCCUUCGGGUUGUAAAGUACUUUCAGUCGUGAGGAAGGUGGUAGUGUUAAUAGCACUAUCAUUUGACGUUAGCGACAGAAGAAGCACCGGCUAACUCCGUGCCAGCAGCCGCGGUAAUACGGAGGGUGCGAGCGUUAAUCGGAAUUACUGGGCGUAAAGCGCAUGCAGGUGGUUAGUUAAGUCAGAUGUGAAAGCCCGGGGCUCAACCUCGGAAUUGCAUUUGAAACUGGCUGACUAGAGUACUGUAGAGGGGGGUAGAAUUUCAGGUGUAGCGGUGAAAUGCGUAGAGAUCUGAAGGAAUACCGGUGGCGAAGGCGGCCCCCUGGACAGAUACUGACACUCAGAUGCGAAAGCGUGGGGAGCAAACAGGAUUAGAUACCCUGGUAGUCCACGCCGUAAACGAUGUCUACUUGGAGGUUGUGGCCUUGAGCCGUGGCUUUCGGAGCUAACGCGUUAAGUAGACCGCCUGGGGAGUACGGUCGCAAGAUUAAAACUCAAAUGAAUUGACGGGGGCCCGCACAAGCGGUGGAGCAUGUGGUUUAAUUCGAUGCAACGCGAAGAACCUUACCUACUCUUGACAUCCAGAGAAGCCAGUAGAGAUACAGGUGUGCCUUC
rnacentral:rRNA from 1 species